rnacentral:rRNA from 1 species
CCUACGGGAGGCAGCAGUGAGGAAUAUUGGUCAAUGGGCGCAAGCCUGAACCAGCCAUCCCGCGUGAAGGAAGAAGGCCCUAUGGGUUGUAAACUUCUUUUCCAGGGGGUGAAUAAUUCCGAUGUAUCGGGAGAUGACGGUACCCUGGGAAUAAGCAUCGGCUAACUCCGUGCCAGCAGCCGCGGUAAUACGGAGGAUGCGAGCGUUAUCCGGAUUUAUUGGGUUUAAAGGGUGCGUAGGCGGAACAAUAAGUCAGUGGUGAAAGACUGCAGCUUAACUGUAGACUUGCCGUUGAUACUGUUGAUCUUGAGUAUGGUCAAGGCAGGCGGAAUGUGUAAUGUAGCGGUGAAAUGCUUAGAUAUUACACAGAACACCGAUUGCGAAGGCAGCUUGCUGGGCCAUUACUGACGCUGAUGCACGAAAGCGUGGGGAUCGAACAGGAUUAGAUACCCUGGUAG